GACAGCGUGAAGGUCGGCCAUGCGUCCGCUCCACGGCCUGCUCCUGCUUCUCGGCCUGGCCGACGUCCGGGGGCAAGUCGCCUCCUUCAGCCAGAGCCCCUCGGAGAUCUCAGUGUCUCCCGGAGAGACGGCCACGCUGGAGUGCGCCGUGGCCAAUGUCGGAGCAGACAAAGUACAUAUGAGAUGGAUCCGGCAGAGCCCGGGACAGAAGCCGGAGGGGGUGCUGAGCUUCAACACAGACCUGAAAAUCUACCGAGCACCAGGCAUCCCGGAGCGAUUCGAACCCUCCCGAGAUGCUGCCAACAAGACCUUCCUGCUCACCAUCCGCCAGGUCCAGCCUGGGGACGACUCCGUCUAUUUCUGCUUUACCUACUAUACCAGUGGAGAGCAGACGUGGGGCGAGGGGACUCGUGUGCGGGUGCAGAGGAGCGACCUGCCCCAGCCCCGCAUGCAGCUCUUCCCGCCCGCCCAGGAGGAGCUGGCCACCGGCGCGGCCACCCUGACCUUCCUGGUGAGCGGCUUCUUUCCCCGCUACGUGGGGGCGCAGGCGGAGGAGUCAGAAGCUUUCUUUGGGGGGCUGGACGAUACAUUUGGAAUCUAUAAGCUAAAGAUAGGACGGGCGGCUCCGGGUCGACCGGUGAAUGAGCUGAUGCGGGCCCUCAUAGAGGUGGCAGACACUUAA